rnacentral:rRNA from 1 species
UACACAUGCAAGUCGAGCGAUGAAGUUUCUUCGGAAAUGGAUUAGCGGCGAACGGGUGAGGAACACGUGAAGAAUCUGCCCUCCACUUUGGGAUAACACCGGGAAACCGGUGCUAAUACUGAAUAUUGAAACAUAAGUGGCAUCACUGAGUUUUGAAAGAAUUUCGGUGGAGGAUGACUUCGCGGCCUAUCAGCUAGUUGGUGAGGUAAUGGCUCACCAAGGCAACGACGGGUAGCCGGCCUGAGAGGGCGACCGGCCACACUGGGACUGAGACACGGCCCAGACUCCUACGGGAGGCAGCAGUGGGGAAUAUUGGGCAAUGGAGGAAACUCUGACCCAGCGACGCCGCGUGCGGGAUGAAGGCCUUCAGGUUGUAAACCGCUUUCAGUAGGGAAGAAGCGAAAGUGACGGUACCUACAAAAGAAGCACCGGCUAACUAUGUGCCAGCAGCCGCGGUAAUACAUAGGGUGCAAGCGUUGUCCGGAAUUAUUGGGCGUAAAGAGCUCGUAGGUCGUUUGUUACGUCGGAUGUGAAAACCUGAGGCUCAACCUCAGGCCUGCAUUCGAUACGGGCAAACUAGAGUUUGGUAGGGGAGACUGGAAUUCCUGGUGUAGCGGUGGAAUGCGCAGAUAUCAGGAGGAACACCAAUGGCGAAGGCAGGUCUCUGGGCCAAUACUGACACUGAGGAGCGAAAGUCUGGGGAGCGAACAGGAUUAGAUACCCUGGUAGUC